UUGUCUUCUGUGAAAGGCGCGGAUAUCUGAGAGGGGGUAGUGGUGUUCUCAAAAACGUGUGUGAGAAGAUGUUUCAUAGCUUAAUGAAGUUUAAAGUAAUUUAAUAUCGAGUUAUUAAUUACUUAAUUGUGAAUGCUCGGUGGAAUAUAUUUUGUGAGGAUGAAAAACAGAAAAACUGUUCUUCAUUAUAGAAUUAUGCACAUUUCGAAUGAGCUCGGUGUAUUUACUUUUUAAUACUACUGUUAUAUAUGUAUAUACUUGAAUUUCAAAAGAAUAAGUUCUAGUUUUUACUUCUAGUGUAUGCGACAAUGUGUAACUUGUACUGAAGUUGUAGUGAAACAUUCACAUAUUAUUGACCUAAAUAUGUCAAAUUCAAGACAAGAUUGCUAUUGGCAAAAUUUGGUUGAAAUGAACUAUUCUUUACUUCAGCCCGUGGUUAUGCUGGAAAGGUUGCCUGAUGAAGUGAUAGAAUCACAUGUUGAGAGUUAUGAAUAUUCCAAAUGGGCAGCUGGUAAAUUAGUACAUGAUGAAAAAUGCUACCCCUCUUGGAGUUGGUAUGUUGCCGAAAAUAAAUCUACCAAAUGGGACCGAAGUCCAGUACCUCCGGGAAAAGAUCAAUCAUCAUCAGUGGCAGGAAAUUUUAAGUUAACCUCUCUUUAUGAAAAUGCUGAAAAACAAGCAUUGUUCAGAACUACGUGCACGAGUAAAAACAAUGUAAGAUGCUCAAAAUGUGGAGUUUUAUUUUUAAAGACAAAAGCUACUGCCAUGUGUUUGAAUUGCAGACCUAAGGCUCCAGCCAUGGAAAAGAUAAAAAAACAAUGGAAGCAGAUGAGCAUAAAUUCAUAUAAUCUGCCUAAACAAAGAGCUCAUAUGGUAAUUAAUGAUAAAUCAGAAGAAACAAACCUGCAAACUAAUGCCAAAAGAAUAGAACUAAUUAAAUAUCCAAAAAAAAGGAAAUGGCCUGAAGAAAAGCAUUACAAUAAUGAUGAUAAAUGUGGUUUUAAGUCACUGGAAAGCAAAGUGACUAAAAGGAUAAGAAACUGGGAUGGUUCAUUCACUCAUGCAAACAAACUAACACCAAUCAACAAGCAGAAUUCUCAAAGAAUUUCUUGGGAUUCGUCUAGUAAAAUUUUCAAGAAUGAUGAUAUGUUGCCAGUAAAAAAAACUAACAGUAGUUUACAUAACAAAAAGUCAAAUAUAUUAGAAAAUCAUAAUUGGAUUAGGGAUCAAAAAGGUAAUGGAACUAAUAAAUGUCAUUUAUUGGUUGAUAAAAUAAAAACAACUCUCCCUAAAAAAGAAGGUACAUUUAUGAACUUCCAAAAAAGGGCAAUAAUAAAAAAUGAAAAAAGUUAUCAGAAAAUUGUAAACCUUGAUCAUAAAACAAGAAAAGAGAAAGAUGAUGAUUUAUGUAUGCAGACUCUUGAGAGAACUGAUAUUCAUGAAAGAAUAAAAAUCAAUAGUGGUGAGAUUCAACCUAAACAUUCACCAUCACAGCAGAAAGGAUUAAGGACCAAUGAAGUGGAAUGGAAAAAAUACCAAAAGAGUUCACAUUCAGAGAAUUUUAACACUAACAAAAAUAGUUGGAGAAAUGAGGAGGUAUCCUACACUGUUCGUAGUGAUUGUAUUAACGAAGUCAAUCCAAAUUCAAAGAAAGUAAUGGAUGUCGGUUGUUCUCAAGGUAAUAAGAUAGGAGAAUGUUUACAGCCUCGGAACACUGUAAAUGUUGAAACCCAACAAGACAAAAAGCAGGCUUUGGAAAGCUUUAGUUGUAAAAAUAGUAAUCAAAAUGAAGAUUUAAAGCAUAAUGUAAAAAUGAAGGAAAGUGAUAAGAAGGUUGACGAAUGUCGAUCAACAACAACAAAGGUAAUAUUGAAUGUUGACAGAAAUAAAAUAAUGUUUACACAAGCAGUGGGAUCAUGUGAGAAGAGAGGUGUGGAGGUUAAGGAUGUAAGAAAUGGUCUCCUUCUCAUGACAUUUGGUGAUGACGAAGACAUAAUCAGUGAGACAGAAGAACCUUUAGUUAAAUGUCAGAUACCAGAAGAGGGUGUUUGUGGUACUUUUCAAGAAGGUAACACAGAUAUGCAUUAUUAUAAUGAUAAUUUACAACAUUUAGAAGAUCAAGAGCCCAAUUGUGAAGUAAAGAAUAAUUGUGUGAAACUUGGAGACAAAUUUAAACCAGUUUUGCAUUGUGAUAAUAGGAUAAAGAAAAGUUUAACACCUGAAAGCGUGAAGGAUUUCGAAAUGGGCAAAGGAAAUUUAAAGAAAAGUGUUGGAAAGAGGACUGUAAAAGUACCAGAGGUUAAAGAUGACCAUGGUCAUUUACAGCUAAUCAGCCACUCGAGUUCUCAAAACUCCAUUUCUAACCUUAAAGAUCCAAAAAUUAUACAACAUGUGACUUUCCAUGAUGAAACUGAUAAACAGUAUGGUAAAUUUCCUGCUAAUUCAAAAGUAAUGAGCCAAUCAGAAAGUGCAGAAUCCAUCUCUAGUUACGAAAAGUCAGUACCUCUCGUUGAAAAUGUCAAUUUAAAUAAAAAGAAAUUGACAACCUUAAAAGAAGAAAUUGUUAAUUUUUGGAAAGAAGGCUCAACAAUGAUCACUCCUUUAGAUGAACUUGACUGCCUAACUGUAGCAAGCAUUGUAGACUUGGAUUGUGGUCCUGAAAGGGCAAUGAACUUGUUCAGAUUCAAGCUAUUGCAGAAUGUUUGCCUCCUAAAAAAAUUGGCUAUUGCAGAGCAGAAUCGGGAGAUUCCUGCAGAGGUAGUUAAGAAAAAUAAAAACAUGAUAUUAUCAGCAAUUACAAAACUUCUUUUUUCAGUUAGAUUAGUAAGAAUGUCCAAAGAUGAUUCUCAGUCCACACAUCAAGAAAAUGUUCAAAGUAAUUUAAGUUGUAACAGUCAUUAUAGUGAUCAUGUAUCAGUAGGAACAGAGGUUUCUUCUGCAAUAGAUAUUAUUAACAGCCAGCUCUCAAGCAAAGAAUGUGAACUAUCCUUAGAUGAUCAAAAUCAGAAUCAACAGUUGGUAGAAUCUUUGCAUGAAUGUCUUGGGUUUGAAAGUGCAAGGAACCCGUAUAAUUCAGGUAAAAAGUCCAUUGAAUAUGAUUUUGUUCCAUUGUCAUCCAGUGCACAUCAGACAAGCAGUUUUAACUAUGAACAACAGUUACAAAAUAUUAAUAUUGUGCCCACAGAUAAAAAAAACCCAGAAGCAUCUCCAAAAAAUUCUGCUAAACAACAGUUGUUUCAUUUAUCUAGUGGACAAAACAGUUUUGGCACAAGGGUGAAUGAAGUUUCAGAGAAGUGUUCUACGAAUGGACAAGCCUCAAGUCAGACAAAAACAUUGAUGAAGAAGACGACAGAACUUCCUCAAGGUGUAACACAUUCAAAUAUAAAGUUAGGUCAACAACUACAUGACAGUAAUGUGGCUCCUGAACUUACACCAUCAUCAAAAACUAGUGGAAGUCUUUAUGAAAAUCAUUUUGAAUCCAUUUUAAGAAAGCAAAGUGACGAGACAAUUUCAAAGUUGGCACAAGGAGAGCUUUGCUCUAAGCAACCGACAGAAAUGUCUGCACAAAAGAAACAAGAUAUAGAAACUAAUUUGACGCAGGAGCUAAAUCUUAUUAAAAGUUAUUUAGCCCAACAGUUUUUGAAGUCUAUUCAAAAGCCACAUCAGGAUGUAGAGCCUUCAGAAUUAUCACAUCAGAGUUUAGAUACAGAUUUUGUAGGUAUGUCACAUCAGCAUUCGAAGUUAAGUGAAAACCCUCAUAUGAAUCAUUCCCUGACUUGUGAGUCACAAUUACAGCAGCUUGGCAUAGAAAGUCCAAAUCCAAACAUUAUUCAACAGCCAAGACUGAACAGUAAUUCAUGCAAUCAACAACAUGUGAUGUUCUCCAACCAACAGCAUUACAAGGACAGUACUAGUGCCACAUGUUAUAGAUUAGCACCCAAAAGAGUAUUUAGUCAACAUCAGCUCCAGCAAAUAGCUGCCCUGACCUUUACACAAGGACAUAGUUCUAAAGUAACAUCUGAAGAGCCAUCUGAUGUUGGAUCCAGUCAGGUUCACCAGCAAUUAUCAUACCCCAAAAAAGAUCAUGAAUCUCAAUAUGUUCAAGAAUCCAUCACAACCAGUACACAACAACAUUGGGACAAAAAGACAGAGCUUUCACAACAGGAAAGAUCCAUAAAAUGUACUCUUAACCAGGUGUCUGCAACAUCCGUUCCUUCAUAUCCAUUUACUGCACUGCUGCAAAAGAAUUCCCUAAAUAUUGCAAAUUCCACAAUAUCACCAGCUCUUGGUCAUAAACAAAUGUUAUUACCCACCAUUAGAUUGGUCCCUGAUGAAAACAUUCCUUCAUAUUCCAACCUAAGGCCAGUGCUUCAAGUACCUAAUAAACCUUUUUAUCAAAGAAUACUUUCUAAUUCAAGAAACUCUGUGUCUCCGGAGUCAGAACGUACCUCUGUUAGUAGUUGUACAUCAGGAGAUACGUGCAACUCACCAGUUUUAGAAAAUGACUUGCAAAGUAAACAGUGUAUUGAUGAUUUGAAUCCAACAUUAGUAUCUCCCAUCUCUCACAACAUUGGUCAUUGGACAAAAAACAUUGGACAACAGAGUGAACCUGAAUCCAUAACCUAUGAUCUUCAGUUGGGAAGAAUGAAUAUGCCACUGUGUCCUCCAUAUAGCCUUCAACAAAAUUUUCCAGAAUUAACAAAUGUUAUCUGCACUCCAAAGAAUCAGUAUUUCUCAAAAGCAUUUACUUACCAUCAGGUUGGAAGUUCAAAUCCAACAGUACCAAGAAGUGGUUUGGUUCCUUGUGCAACUAGAGUACCAAUGCCCAACAUAACCUCGCCAUCUAGUACAAGUUUCAUGAUUCACUCAGGAAUCAAAGAGAGUUCUCUGCUACCACUGUCCCAGAUGAGGCCAUAAUCUUUAAACUACACAUUCCUGGCAUCAAAGGGCACUGCUGUCAACAAUUUUAGACAAAGUGCAGUAUUACACCAACUCUCAUGGGCAGAACAGGUAUCUUCUAGAUAAUGACAAAGAAACAAAGGCAGUUAGAACAAGAUGAACUUGAUGACUUUCUCAACCAUUGUAUGUUGUGUGGGAAACAAGCUAAAAACGUUUGUUCAGCCUGUUCCAAAGUCUCGUAUUGCG
rnacentral:misc_RNA from 1 species